CCUCGAUGUCGGCUCGUCGCAUCCUGGGGCUGGAGUCGGUCCCAAGGGUUGGGCUGUUCGCCCAUUAAAGCGGUACGCGAGCUGGGUUUAGAACGUCGUGAGACAGUUCGGUCCCUAUCCGCUGCGCGCGCAGGAAUAUUGAGAAGGGCUGUCCCUAGUACGAGAGGACCGGGACGGACGAACCUCUGGUGUGCCAGUUGUUCUGCCAAGGGCAUGGCUGGUUGGCUACGUUCGGGAGGGAUAACCGCUGAAAGCAUCUAAGCGGGAAGCCUGCUUCGAGAUGAGUAUUCCCACCUCCUAGAGAGGGUAAGGCUCCCAGUAGACGACUGGGUUGAUAGGCCGGAUAUGGAAGCACGGUAACGUGUGGAGUUGACCGGUACUAAUAGGCCGAGGGCUUGUCCUCAGUUG
rnacentral:rRNA from 1 species